GCAUCUCCUAGAGUUCCCUUCCAAGCACUUCAGGAGAAAGUGUGAAGAAAUUGAUAUUUCUUUAGUGAAGUGUUUGGGGGAACUCUGGGUGUAAC
rnacentral:pre_miRNA from 2 species